rnacentral:tRNA from 1 species
GCGGGGAUUGCCAAGCCAGGUCAAAGGCGCAGGGCUUAGGACCCUGUCUCGUAGGAGUUCGUGCGUUCAAAUCGCACUCCCCGCA